rnacentral:lncRNA from 1 species
AGCAGUCAAGCGCGUAUAUAAAUAUAAUAUCUUAAAUCCAAAAAGAAUUAUACAGAGCGAAUCAAUGAUAACCAAACUCUAACAAUAUGAAAACUGAGCUGAAUUCUAUACUCAUACAUAUAAACAGAGAUAAAUAAUCCAAGUCUACAACAAUGGAAUCAACAAAUAAUACAAAAGAAAAAUAUCGAGACAAGCCCAAAUUAAUCAAAAUAUGAAGUCCAAAAACAUAAUGAUCACAAUAUAACUAAUUGCAUCUCAAAUUCUCCACCUGCCUGUUACCCAAAUUGACAGUCCAAUCACAAUUCAUUUGACCAGAUUUCUUCUUCUUGAUGAUCUUCAUCAAAUGCACCUUUCCAUGCAAUUUAGCUUGGCUGCUGAGCCUCAAAAUCCCAGAAUUGAUGUCAUUUCCCAAGUUAGUAUCAGAUAGUGUGUCUGUGCUAACAUCCACAUUGAUGUUGAACCUCUGGGUUUUUCUGGCCUUGGUGCGGCCCCGGGGAAUUAGAGCUUCCCCGAGUGGCACCCCAUUGUAGAAUACGACAAGCGUGGCGUUGUCAUACUUGAAAUGCCCAAAGUUGGUGUUUUUGAUGGUGAGUUGAGCAGCAGCUCAUGUUGAUGGAAGUUGCGGUGUUGUUGUUGGGUGAAGCUUUCGACAACCAUGGCGUUGAACCUCACCUUAGGGCUUUUGAUCUUCAUAACUGUGAGGGCAAACACUAAUAUGAUAGCCGUUUGGAACACCAAGAAUGCUGCAACGUAUGCUAAGCAUUUCUUGCGGCUUCUUCCUUCUCCCUUUGACAUUGUUUUUGUUGAGAAAGAAGAGUGUUUUUUUUUUUUGAUGAAUGGGACGUGAAGGUAUUUGAGAGGUGGAAGCUCAAGUAGGAAAUUGGAUGUCUAGAAUUGAGAAAAGAGGAGUGUAUAUAUAGGAAGAGGAAAUAAGUAGUUGAAGUAGAUGGUUGGCUCAAAAGUCAAACUAAUGUUGCUAUACUCGGACAAAUGCGCGUUUCAAAAAGGACCUUGACUUAAUUAAAAUGGAGUAUGUCAUGUGUACUUAAUUAACCGAUAACGAAAUGCAGCUUAAUUGAUAAGAUGCUUCUGCUUUUAUCAAUAGAUUAAGAGUUCGAGUCACCGAAACAUGGAAAACCAUUAUUAGUUCUCUUUAAAAACGAAAAAAAAAUUAACAAGAUUCUUUAAAACCAAAUAUUUUUUUAUUUGUGUUUUGCUACAAGUUUUUUUAUUUAAUUAAUUUAAAAUAUUAUAACACGGUGAAGUGUUUGUCAUUAGAGCAUCAUUCUUUUCAACUAAUUUCUUCCAUUAAUGAACUCUGAGAGAGAACGUGAGUUAGAGAGACAUAAUUGAAUUAGAGAGAGAAAGAAUCGUAUACUAAUGAUAUAGUAUGAAUUAAGAAGGUCAUCACAUCUUAGAAAAAAACAAAAUAUAGUAGGGAUUUUAAAUUGUAAAAUAUUCUUACGUACACUGAAAAAAUUUUAAUAGAGAAUGUUAUAUAUUGAGAUAAUGGAUAAUGAAUCUGAAACAUGCAAAUAAGUCAAUAAUUUCAGUGAAUAAAUCAACGUUCCGUACGUAGGAACAGUCAUUUUCGUUUGAGUUCGAAUUUUGAAGGGAGCGAGUUUUUUAACAUAUCAAAUAGAUACAUCUAGUGUUCAUAAGUUUUAUUCGUUUAUUAAGAAAAUAUAUUUAUUUAUUUGUUAUUUUUCAUUCUCUCAAUGUAUAACAUUCUCCAUGGAGCCAUACCUUCUUCCACUAAUGUCAAAAUUGCACUAAAAAUUAUGUGCCUGAAUUUUUAGAUGACAAUUAAUGUCAACAUUAAUUUAGGGGUAAACCAAUCUAAUUAGUUGUUGAAUCAGAAUAUAUAGUAUAGUAAUUUGCAGAUGUACAUAAUCUUUUUGUAGUGUGCAAAGUCCAGAAUUUAGACAAAUUUCGAUAAUUUACAUGCUACUAUAUAUUCGCCCACCCCCCACCCCCAUCAGAGUUUUGUGUGAAAUGAUGAAGUUGACAAUACAGUUGGGUAUGAGGAAGGUUCCCAUGCCAGGAGUAUAAUAUUGUGAGUUUAAUAUAGUAUAGCUCGCCAUGUAAAGAAUAUCUGUCUCUUGUUCAAAACCUAAUGUUAAUUAAUUAUCAAUAUUGAAAACGUGUUUCCUAACGUUCUUCUACUCAAGUGUCUUAUGCUAAAUACGUCAUUAAUUAAUAUUUUAAUUAGUAGAAUCGUAUAGUGUGGCAUGAUGGGAUCAAAUUCUUGUUACAUAAUUAAUCGGUAUUUCAAUUAGUGUCCCAUGUUGUGUUUGUAGUUCUAUAAUAUUAUGGGAGAAAAUCUUGUUAAAAAUGUGUCAUUAAAAGUACAACUAUAAACACAAAAUGAAACAUGAGUUAAGACAAUAAUCACGAUCAGCGAGAUAAUUUAAGAGGGAAAACUUAUUAUAGUCAAAGUUCAUAAGUUUAUAAGUUUUAUUCUAAUUUACUAAGGGCUCAUUUGGUACGGACAUAUAAUAUAGGGUUAAUAGCCGAAAAAUACACGAACUAUUAUGAAAUUUGCAUAUUGCACAUCACCUUUAAAAUUAGCUCCAAAAUACAUCACCUUUUAAUUUAGUUGUGAAUUGUAUACGGAAAAAAUUCCGGCAGCUCUUAAGUUUGACCGGCGAUGACGUGCAUAGUAUUAACAUUACAUGGCAUUACUCGUGGCUUUUUUUACAAGCUGGCAAGCCACGUGGGCAAAACGACGUCGUUUUGAUAUUUUGAAGAAUUUCCUAAAAAAAAGAAGAAAUCCCGAAUCUACAACCACCGCCGUCACCGUUUCUAAAAUCCGGCGAGCCACACCGGCCUCCCCAUCCGAAAGGGUUCUCCAGUUGCCGCCUCUGUCAGCAACCCACAACCACCGCCUGGAUCUACCGCCUCCCCAGAAACCUCUUUUUCUCUACGGAUCAGCGGCGCCUCCGCCUUGACCGCCCUCCUCAUAAACCUCUACCAUCCUCCCUCCGCCGCUUCGCCCCUGCUAACCCAAUCACACUCCAAGGUUCAAAAAUCAAGAAUCCCCUAACCCUAAAUCAUCUCCUUUCAACGAUUGGGAAAGAGAAAAUCAUCAAUUAGCAGGGAAAAAAAACACUCAAAACUAAACCCAGAAAAUAGAAAAGCAAGACAACGAAAGAGAAAACAAGAAGAAAACAGAAAUGUGAUGAUGGGGAAUGGCGGCGGCGAGAAGCUCGAAAGUAGCGGACCUAAUCCGGCGUGGCGGCCUUGCCUUGCGAAGUAGCAGCUCUAAUUUGGGGAUCUAUAGUUUUGGGAAAAAAGUGGCGGCGACCCAUUUGCUGUCCUUGCCGGAGAUUGAGGCGGCACGAGUUUGGGUGGCGAAAUCGAAGCACGAAAAGGGCGGUGACAUUUGCUGUCCGGCGAUGGUGUGCAGGGUGCGGUGGGUGGGGUGGCUGGGAGUGAUAAGGGAGACGCUGGAGAUUUUGGCUGAUUUUUCCCUUUUUCCUUUUUUAUUUUAUUUUUAAAUAUAUACUUAUUCAAAAUGACGUAGUUUUGAAUGCCGGUGAGUCCACGUCUGAAAAUUGCGGGAGCCACGUCAACACCGAUCAAGGUAGUGGUCAACACGUGUGCAAUUUACAACUAAAUUAAAAUAUGAUGUAUUCUGGAGCUAAUUUUAAAGGUGGUGUGCAAUAUGCAAAUCUCGUAAUAGUUCGUGUAUUUUUCGGCUAUUAACCCUAUAAUAUAUUACUAUAAAACACACGACCCUUUAUAAAUUGAAAGCCCGAAAUAUUAUAUUGAUUUGAGGGAUUCUGUAUACCAACCUUCCUAAGUGAUAUACAUUAUACAAAUCUUAAUUAUAACUAUUACUAUUAACUUUAUAUAAUCUUAAUACAUCGUACCAAACAACAUAUUAUAUUUAUGCAUUGUACCAAACAUGAUAUUAAUCUGACAUCUAGUAAAAGAUAUUAAUAGCCUUUCAAACAAUUUAUAUAUCAACAGUUAAUCAUUUCCCAUUCUCAACUCUCACCAAUAGAACUACUCACACAUUAUAAAAACCAUAAACACAAAUUGAAAUAAACGCAUAGAUAGAAGUAAAAUGUAGAUAGAUAAAUGAUAAUAAAAUAUCCGGAACAAGAUGCCUGAGCCCUUCGUCCUUGCAAUUACAACUACUAAAAACAAUAAAGUGUUCAAAAAACUGAAGCAAAACGAAAAUAAAAUUGUUUCUGGAUGCACAACGAUAAUAUCAAAAUGAAAAGUGGGAGUAAAAAGUUCUCCAAAAGCUAUAAAGUGAUCCUUUGUCAGCCACACAUGCUGAACUUUAAACAACAGCUCGGUAGCAGUCAAACCCUAGCCGGCAGAUCAUAUCUGGCAGAUGAUUUCCUUCCAUAUUUAGUUUGAUCCUUGAUUGAUACGAUUGAUAAUGGAUCUCCAGCUGAUUAAUUUGGGGUUGAUUAUACAUUUUUUCAGAUCCUUCCAUUGUCAGAAUUCGCCAGAAUCUUCCGGGCAAUCUUCAGAGAAUCUCUUGCAUUAGGUAAACCUUCAUUCUUUAGAUCUUUCUAUACGGACGGUUGGCUGUUGUUGCUUACAGUGAUGGUCAAACUAGCUGCUUCUCUGGUUUGCCUCAUACCGGGUGGUACAUUUCGGAGUUUCUCGCACCUCAAAUGUGUAACUAGGGGUACUUCGCCUCGACUCCUUCCUAGUAAAUAUAACAUAAUACAACUAUGGGCUGGUAAAGUCCAUUCCAACCAUCUUUCUCUCGUUUGCUCUGAACUGGACCUUUCUUCCCUUCAAAUCUCGUUCUCUCCCCAAAAGAUCAAGACAGACACAAUAAAGAGAAAAAAAAUAGAGCCAAAUGACCCUAAAAUCGAAGACGCAUCAGAAUGCUCUAAAGUAAUUGUAGCAAUCCUAUAAAAAAAUUUAACUACCGAAUCAGUUAACUUCUAGAAGGACACGCAUAUAACGGUGAGUUUGGAAAGCUUUCACAUGCACCUUGUGCAUUAUAUUUUCUCUCAAAAUAAGAAAAGAAAAGAAACUAAGAUACUUAUAACCGUGUCUACAUUGGUAUUGUUGAGUCACAAACUAGAACUAACACUAAAUUAAGAUUUAAGAUUAUGAUUUAUUCUGUUCAAGAAAAAAAAAAUAAGUAUGAUUUAUUAAGUAAUUGUCCCUCGAGAAAUUGUAACUACCGAACUAGAUCGGUCAACUUCUAGAAGGACACGUAUUAUAAUUAAUGGUAACAUUUGAAAAUGCUCUAAACGGUAAAGUUUGGAAAGUUUUCACACCUUGUGCAUCAGUGAAGAUCAGUUUUUACAAAAAAAGACAGAGAGAGAGAGAGAGAGAGAUCAAUUUUCAAAUUAGGAAUUUUGGCAAAAUAGAAGUAUUUCGAAAUUACUAUUUCAAUGUUAAUUUUAAAACGUGGUUAAUUAAAUCACCAUCGUUUCAAUUUAUACAAUUUCAUCCCUCCAUUUUUUUUCCUGAUCACCGAAGUGUUUAAUUACAACUUACGUGAAUUAGUAAAUAUAACAUUGUUUUUGUGAGGCCUAAACGACAUUCUUUUGUACCAUUUAAUUAAAAAUAUCUCCAAAUUUUAAAGGGACUGUAUCCUGUAUCUGCACCCUAAUUUUCAAUAUUCAGCAAUUUUAUUACAAACGACAUCGUAACAUAAUAUUACGCAGCAAACUAAUUUACGUAAACUUCAACCUAGUAAUCCAGUGAUCGAAACAAAUUGGAAGAACGAUAUUAUAAAAAUUUAAAAUAUGAUAAUUUAAUUUAUCACACUUUAAAAAUCACAUUAAAAUUGUAAUUUCAAAAUAAUUCGUCAUUUAAUUAUGAGAGAGAGAGAGAGUCAUGGAGAUUGGGGAAAAUAUAUACUUAUUUCAAUUUUAUCUUUUUUAGGGAUAUUUCAAUUUUAUUUGAAUGAAUUGGAAGGUGGAUUUCAUUAAUAAAACUAGAACAAGAAAUAAAUUGAAUAAUGUAAAAGUAAAAGGAAAAAAAAGAAAGAAUUAAUUCUCAAAUAUGAAAAACCUAGAAUUUAUCAUUUCACCAUGGUUUAUCCUUCUUGACUUGUUCAAUUGUUUCAAUUAUCAGUCUUAUUAUGUAGUGAUGGGCCGAGACUACCCAGAUUUUUCUAUAGGCUCUCUCGCUUUCAAGGUUUAGACUCUAAACAAAAUUCCAUUAAAUGCAACCCGCUAGAUUUCUAACGAUCCAAUCCCCAGAGUUCCAGCCACGUUGCAAAAAAAUCUAAAUUAUUUGCCCAGCGAGUUUGAUAGACUUAUACAGUAUUUUCUUCUCACAUUACAAAUGUCCACUUUCUAUAUAUAAUGAAGUCUCAUUAUAUAUAUCACAUUCUUUUUUGACAAUAUAUUCUCUCUCUGUAUUUAAUAUUUAAAUAAUUUUCAUAAACCUAAUUUAUUUACUUUCUAUACAUUUCUUAAUCUCUGUGCCAAAAAAUAAUAUAAGACAUUUAUAAUGGGACGAAUGGAGUGUUAUACUUUAUUUGUUUCAUCAAUAGUAAGAUUUGAUCUGGACGAUAAUUAAAGAAAAGUGUUUAGAGUGUAAAAACUAAAUAUGAACCACAACUAAAGAUGAAAGUUUAAAGCAAAAUUUAUAAUGUAAAAAAAUAUGAACAUUGGACUAAGUCAUUAUAAAAGAAUGGACCAAAAAAAAAAUGUAUCAUUAUAUAUAUGAACGGGACUCGGGAGGAGUAUAUCACUAACAUCAACAUACCAAUUAACAUAGUGGAACAUGCAUGAAGCAAGAAAAUUUGACAAAAAAAAAAGGGAAAAUGACACUCACCAUGAUAUAUAAUUAAAUCAAUAGGGAAAAAUGAAUAAAAUCAAAUAUCAACAACUACAUAAGUAAAAAUAAAUACAAAAAUAGAGUAGUACUCCAUAUGAGAAGAAAGCAUGAGCCUCCCUCAAAAUAAAAAAUAAAAAAUAAUAAUAAUAAAUGAAACAUGAAUUUGGUUAUUGGAUGGGCUUUCUUAUUUGAAACCAUAAAAUUUGUUCGUCAAAAAAGAUACUCAUUUCUCCACGAAGAUGAUAUAUUUCUUUUCGGCACAAAAAUUAAGGAGUUAUUGUUUAGUUAUUUAAGUAUGUUUAUAAAUUUAUGAUUAAAGAGUUAUUUAGAUAGUUAAUGAUUUUAUGUCUCAUGUAUUAUAUUCUUUAUGUCUCAUUGAUAAUAAUUCAUUUGAUCUGGGCAAGAGAAUUAAGGAGGAGGUGAGUGUAAAGCAAAUAGGAAUCACAAAUAAAGGUGAAAUGUAAAAUAAAUGUUAAUUUUUGAACUAAACUAUUAUCAAAAGAAUAGACGAAAAAGAAAAGUGAGACAUUAUUAAUGAGAUAGAUGAAGCAAAUAACUACCAAUUAACAAAGUGGAACAUGCAUGAAACAAGAAAGUUUGACCAGAAAAUGACAUUCACCAUGAGAUAUAAAUCAAUAGGGAAAAAUGAAUAAAAUCAAAUCAUCAAUAACUACAGAAGUAAAAAUUACAAAAAAAAAAAAGAGUUCAACAAAUGGUUCUCUGCGACGUAGAAUAUCAUAUACAUGAUAUAUGUAUAAUUAAGAAAAGUAAUCAGUCGCACUUCAAAUUCUCCACCUGCCUGUUACCCAAAUUGACAGUCCAAUCACAAUUCAUUUGACCAGAUUUCUUCUUCUUGAUGAUCUUCAUCAAAUGCACUUUCCAUUCAAUUUAGCUUGGCUGCUGAGCCUCAAAAUCCCAGAAUUGAUGUCAUUUCCCAAGUUAGUAUCAGAUAGUGUGUCUGUGCUAACAUCCACAUUGAUGUUGAACCUCUGCGUUUUUCUGGCCUUGGUGCGCCCCCGGGGAAUUAGAGCUUCCCCGAGUGGCACCCCAUUGUAGAAUACGACAAGCGUGGCGUUGUCAUACUUGAAAUGCCCAAAGUUGGUGUUUUUGAUGGUGAGUUGAGCGAGCAGCCUCAUGUUGAUGGAAGUUGCGGUGUUGUUGUUGGAGCUGAAGCUUUCGACAACCAUGGCGUUGAACCUCACCUUAGGGCUUUUGAUCUUCAUAACUGUGAGGGCAAACACUAAUAUGAUAGCCGUUUGGAACACCAAGAAUGCUGCAACGUAUGCUAAGCAUUUCUUGCGGCUUCUUCCUUCUCCCUUUGACAUGUUUUUGUUGAGAAAGAAGAGUGUUUUUUUUUUUUUUGAUGAAUGGGACGUGAAGGUAUUUGAGAGGUGGAAGCUCAAGUAGGAAAUUGGAUGUCUAGAAUUGAGAAAAGAGGAGUGUAUAUAUAGGAAGAGGAAAUAAGUAGUUGAAGUAGAUGGUUGGCUCAAAUGUCAAACUAAUGUUGCUAUA